rnacentral:rRNA from 1 species
AGUGAACGCUGGCGGUAGGCAUAACACAUGCAAGUCGAACGGUAGCACAGUAAGAGCUUGCUCUUACGGGUGGCGAGUGGCGGACGGGUGAGGAAUACAUCGGAAUCUACUUUUUCGUGGGGGAUAACGUAGGGAAACUUACGCUAAUACCGCAUACGACCUACGGGUGAAAGCAGGGGAUCUUCGGACCUUGCGCGAUUGAAUGAGCCGAUGUCGGAUUAGCUAGUUGGCGGGGUAAAGGCCCACCAAGGCGACGAUCCGUAGCUGGUCUGAGAGGAUGAUCAGCAACACUGGAACUGAGACACGGUCCAGACUCCUACGGGAGGCAGCAGUGGGGAAUAUUGGACAAUGGGCGCAAGCCUGAUCCAGCCAUACCGCGUGGGUGAAGAAGGCCUUCGGGUUGUAAAGCCCUUUUGUUGGGAAAGAAAAGCAGCAGGUUAAUACCCCGCUGUUCUGACGGUACCCAAAGAAUAAGCACCGGCUAACUUCGUG